UGUUGGUCACUAUAUCCCCCCAGCCACAAGGAGAUCAAUCUAUUUCAGGACAUCUUUUGCCUGGUUUAUUUAGUGCAGCUGCAACGUUGGUCCCCCUGCCUUCAGUUGAUGUCCCCCUCAGUAUUCUCACUACUGACAGGUUGAGCAAACAGCUUUCUAAAACAUGUUAUGGCAGCUCCCCAC